UUUCACAGUACAAAAUAAAAAAAUAUAACAAUAAACGUCUCUCUUCACUCUCCUCACGAGACCACUCAUUACACACACCACUCUCAACAAAUUCAUUCACUAUCUCUCUCUCACCACUCAGACUCUCUCUAUUAACCAACAAACAAAAACUUUUUCCAGGAUUCAUCUCUCUAUCUCAGAAAAUCUUCUUUAUCUUUCUCCAAAUUCUCUCUCACCAUCAAAGCACCUCCGACCCACCUCCACAAAAUCUCCACAUGCGCCGCUAAACCACCCUUUGCCGUCAAACCCUUAAACUCACCCUCUUCACCGUUAACCCUCCGACGAAUCCCAAAACCACAACCUCAAACGACCGCCGUUUCUUUUCCAAUCCUUUCACAACCGCCGUCCUAUUCACCGCACAUCCGACCACUCACCGUGGCAGAAUCUUGUCGGUGAUAGCUCAACCUUCCAUCAUCAAUACUGUUCACAACAUCACAACACGGGUCCGUCACCGUCAUCUGGGACAACGACACGCAAACGACCGUCAAAACCAUGACCUCACGCAUUCGCCGUUGAUCUUCUUCCACCAAACCGAAAACAACUCAGUGGUGCCAUAGGAUAUCAAACAAGGACGAUGCCACUUGCUUCAAUUUUGUUUUGGACAAUUUCAAGUUAGAGGGUUUUCUUUGAUCGGUUCGCUGCUGGUUUUUGUUUGGUUGUUUAUGCAGGUAAGGGUUCUGUUAAGACUCGGAACGGAAAGAUCCAGAUUCGCUUCAUCAACGGUGCUGCAUUCGAAUGUGUUUCGGAAUAAGGGUUGGAUUUAUGUCGACAUUGCAGUAGUCCUGUAAACAAUUAAGUUGUUCUUAUUGUGGGCACCUUAUCAUGUUAGAAAUUCUGCUGCUAAAAUUUUUUCAUUUUAUGAAUGGUUCACAUAAGGCUUUGGUUUAUUAAGUAUUUGUUGUGGCACUGCUACCGUUAUGUUUCUCGGACGGGUGGUUAUGAAUAUCAUGGUGAUUCUCUUUUCUUCCUUCCUUAUUCCACUUUUCUUUUUAUCUUGUUUAUGCUUUCACGUUUAAGGUUAGUUUUGUAUAAAGUAAAAUUUGAAAGUUAAUUGUCAAGUUAUGUUAUUAGGACAUUAUCUCAUAUUAUGGUUAACUUGAUUUUUUA